rnacentral:rRNA from 1 species
UGGGGAAUAUUGGACAAUGGGCGAAAGCCUGAUCCAGCAAUGCCGCGUGAGUGAUGAAGGCCCUAGGGUUGUAAAGCUCUUUUACCCGGGAUGAUAAUGACAGUACCGGGAGAAUAAGCUCCGGCUAACUCCGUGCCAGCAGCCGCGGUAAUACGGAGGGAGCUAGCGUUGUUCGGAAUUACUGGGCGUAAAGCGUGCGUAGGCGGUCUGUUAAGUCUGCUGUGAAAUCCCCGGGCUCAACCUGGGAAUGGCAGUGGAAACUGGCGGGCUAGAGUACGGUAGAGGAUGGUGGAAUUCCCGGUGUAGCGGUGAAAUGCGUAGAGAUCGGGAGGAACACCAGUGGCGAAGGCGGCCAUCUGGACCAGUACUGACGCUGAGGCACGAAAGCGUGGGGAGCAAACA